rnacentral:lncRNA from 1 species
CUAAAAUCGUCCAUAAUAUACAAUACAAAUAGAAAAGUUUUUUUGUAAAACAAUAUUACCCUACAUAAAAGUAAACAUGAAAUAUUACCAGUGUCUAAUUUCUAUACUAUUUCAGAGGUGUUUUCUCGUUUAACAGAGAAGCAAAGGUAAAGAAUGAAGAAGAAAUACGGCAGAAGAAAACAAUUUUUGUGAUAAUAUGAUUUAGAUAAAGUAGAUGGAAUCAAAAUUUGCAUUAAACAAAUCUAGUCACAAUACAUUUUACAGACAAUGACAAGCCGCAUUUAUUAUAUGAAAAUUGAAAAGACCAUGACAACCUGAAUUUAAUAAUCAUUUUGUCAAAAAUACCCUUAACUUAAUGCUUCCCAUUAUUUUCAAUCAAUUUUGAUAUUGAGGAUAAAGUGGGAAUUCAAAACAUUUACCCAUAAAAGUCAAAUUUGUAACAAAUAAUUUUCCUACUCACUGUCAUUGAGAAAUGAAUGCAGGCCCACUACAAUCGUACAAGAUAGAAACAAAUCGUUGCUUCAUGUUGCUUUUCAACCAAAUCUUUUGUAUCUAUUUGUUUUAUUAGGCAUGAAAGAAGCAAACUCCAAACCAGUUAAGUCCCCUUAAGAAGAAAACUCCAAAUUGAUUAAGUGUGAACACGGAGUGCCAAGAAUGAAUAGUAAUCGGCUGGAUCCUUUCUUUUAAUGUAGAGGUAGAUAUAUAACUAGAGAUAGAAAAGAGAUAUGAAGCAGGAUUUAUUAGUUGAUUGAUUCUAUGCCUGGCAGGCAUCUAAAAGCAAGGGUGACAAGUAACUUUAAUUAUUAAAUAAUAUUAUAUUAGUCAUGACUAGACGAUACAGUAGUUAUUUGAUAAUUACAUUCUGAGCUAUUGAAUUCAACUUGCCAAACAUAUGCAAUAAAAUUUUAUUUUGAAAGCUCCUUUGACUUAUCUACAUGAUUGUCUUGAUUCAUUUGUUCUAUUUGUAUCCAGAAAUAGCUAAUUGUAUUUUCAAGUCAAUUGCUUCCUAGAAGUGGCCCGAUAGCCUCUUGGGAGUCAAAGUUAUUGUUACUGAGUGAUGAAAUUUUUUAUUUUCAUACAACAUUUAAGGUU